AUACCUUUUUCGGCUUUUUAGGUAAGAUCAAAUGUAGUAUAUGUUCUUAUUAAUAUAAUAUUUUAUAUGUGGAUUAUCUGUUCAUAUGAUAUUAAUUUUAUUUUUAAAGAAAAAAACUCAUUAAAAUAGUUUGCUAUUUGGGUUUUUUAUAAGUUGCUCAUGCACAUAAGACUGGUCCCUAUCCAUCUC
rfam:Brassica rapa chromosome A2, whole genome shotgun sequence.